rnacentral:rRNA from 1 species
CCUACGGGUGGCAGCAGUGGGGAAUAUUGCACAAUGGGGGAAACCCUGAUGCAGCGACGCCGCGUGAGUGAAGAAGUAAUUCGUUAUGUAAAGCUCUAUCAGCAGGGAAGAAAAUGACGGUACUUGAGGAAGAAGCCCCGGCUAAUUACGUGCCAGCAGCCGCGGUAAUACGCCGGGGGCAAGCGUUAUCCGGAUUUACUGGGUGUAAAGGGAGCGUAGACGGCAGUGCAAGUCUGGUGUGAAAGGCGGGGGCUCAACCCCCGGACUGCACUGGAAACUGGGCGGCUGGAGUGCAGGAGAGAGGAGUAGAAUUCCAAGUGUAGCGGUGAAAUGCGUAGAUAUUAGGAGGAACACCAGUGGCGAAGGCAGCUUACUGGACUGUAACUGACGUUGAGGCGCGAAAGCGUGGGGAGCAAACAGGAUUAGAUACCCUUGUAGUC